rnacentral:tRNA from 1 species
GAAGCUUAGGAUUAAAUACUAAACCAGUGGCCUUCAACACCACAAAUAAGGGACGACCCUUAGCUUCU